rnacentral:misc_RNA from 1 species
AAGACUAUAGACCUGCGGAGUACCUGCGGUGGGAUCAUUAACGUAUCUAUGAUGGGGUGCGGAGCGCCCUGCUCCGGUCGAACGGCCGUGCAGCGGGUGCGCCGCCCCCGUCCCACCUCACAAACCCACUGUGAACAUUCACCGGUGGAGGGGGCUCGGUCUGCGCCGUGUCCCCGAUGCCGAAUACCCAAACUCCAGUUGCAAAGAACGUCGUGCGGACUCGGUGCCGCCUAAAACAUG